GAUUGAACGUUGGCGGCACGCCUAAUACAUGCAAGUCGAACGAGAAAGCACUUCGGUGCGAGUACAGUGGCGGACGGGUGAGUAACGCGUAGGAAUCUACCUAGUAGUGGGGGACAACUCGAGGAAACUCGAGCUAAUACCGCAUACGCUCUAUGGAGGAAAGUGGGGGAUCUUCGGACCUCACGCUAUUAGAGGAGCCUGCGUUAGAUUAGCUAGUUGGUGAGGUAAAGGCUCACCAAGGCUACGAUCUAUAGCUGGUCUGAGAGGACGAUCAGCCACACUGGAACUGAGACACGGUCCAGACUCCUACGGGAGGCAGCAGUAGGGAAUCUUGGGCAAUGGGCGAAAGCCUGACCCAGCGAUGCCGCGUGUGCGAAGAAGGCCUUAGGGUUGUAAAGCACUUUCAGUUGCGAAGAAAAGCUGCGGUUUAAUACGCCGCGGUCUUGACGUUAACAACAGAAGAAGUACCGGCUAACUCCGUGCCAGCAGCCGCGGUAAUACGGAGGGUACGAACGUUAAUCGGAAUUACUGGGCGUAAAGCGCGCGUAGGCGGUUUGAUAAGUGGGAUGUGAAAGCCCCGGGCUCAACCUGGGAACUGCAUUCCAAACUGUCAAACUAGAGUGUGGUAGAGGGAGGUAGAAUUUCCUGUGUAGCGGUGAAAUGCGUAGAUAUAGGAAGGAAUACCGAUGGCGAAGGCAGCCUCCUGGACCAACACUGACGCUGAGGUGCGAAAGCGUGGGGAGCAAACAGGAUUAGAUACCCUGGUAGUCCACGCCGUAAACGAUGAGAACUAGCCGUUGGGGCCUUUAAGGCUUUGGUGGCGCAGCUAACGCGAUAAGUUCUCCGCCUGGGGAGUACGGCCGCAAGGUUAAAACUCAAAUGAAUUGACGGGGGCCCGCACAAGCGGUGGAGCAUGUUCUUUAAUUCGAUGCAACGCGAAGAACCUUACCACCCCUUGACAUCCUGUGCUACAUUCAGAGAUGAAUGGUUCCCUUCGGGGACGCAGUGACAGGUGCUGCAUGGCUGUCGUCAGCUCGUGUCGUGAGAUGUUCGGUUAAGUCCGGCAACGAGCGCAACCCACAUCCCUAGUUGCCAGCAGUUCGGCUGGGCACUCUAUGGAAACUGCCCGUGAUAAGCGGGAGGAAGGUGUGAAUGACGUCAAGUCCUCAUGGCCCUUACGGGUUGGGCUACACACGUGCUACAAUGGCAUCUACAGUGGGUUAAUCCCCAAAAGAUGUCUCAGUUCGGAUUGUCGUCUGCAACUCGACGGCAUGAAGUCGGAAUCGCUAGUAAUCGCGUAACAGCAUGACGCGGUGAAUACGUUCCCGGGCCUUGCACACACCGC
rnacentral:rRNA from 1 species